rnacentral:rRNA from 1 species
GACGAACGCUGGCGGCGUGCCUAAUACAUGCAAGUCGAACGAACCGCGACUAAGUGCUUGCACUAAGUCAAGGUGAGUGGCGAACGGGUGAGUAACACGUGGGUAACCUACCUCAUAGUGGGGGCUAACAGUCGGAAACGACUGCUACUACCGCAUAGGACAUAGGAUCACAUGAUCCAGUGAGGAAAGGUGGCGCAAGCUAUCUCUAAGAGAUGGACCCGCGGUGCAUUAGCUAGUUGGUAGGGUCAAGGCCUACCAAGGCGAUGAUGCAUAGCCGACCUGAGAGGGUGAUCGGCCACAUUGGGACUGAGACACGGCCCAAACUCCUACGGGAGGCAGCAGUAGGGAAUCUUCCGCAAAGGACGCAAGUCUGACGGAGCAACGCCGCGUGAGUGAAGAAGGUCUUCGGAUCGUAAAGCUCUGUUGUUAGAGAAGAACAGCGCAUAGAGUAACUGCGAUGCGUGUGACGGUAUCUAACCAGAAAGCCACGGCUAACUACGUG